AUACGAGGGGUGCAAGCGUUAUUCGGAAUCAUUGGGCGUAAAGGGUGCGUAGACGGUGUAUUAAGUCUGCUGUUAAAUCUCCCGGCUUAACUGGGAGCUCGCAGUGGAAACUGGUAUGCUAGAGGAUGGAAGAGAGAAGUGGAAUUCUCGGAGUAGCGGUAAAAUGCGUAGAUCUCGAGAGGAACACCGAUGGCGAAGGCAGCUUCUUGGCUUGCGCCUGACGCUGAGACGCGAAAGCGUGGGUAGCAAACAGGAGUAGAUACCCCGGUAGUCC
rnacentral:rRNA from 1 species